rnacentral:rRNA from 1 species
AUUACAGAGUUGUAAAACUCCCUAAAACCCAUGUGAAUCUACCUAUUGUUGCCUCGGCGGUACGCCUGGCGGGCCGCCGGAGGACCUAUAAACUCUUGUUAUAGUUGGUCAUCUGAGUAUAACUUUUAAAUAAGUCAAAACUUUCAACAACGGAUCUCUUGGUUCUGGCAUCGAUGAAGAACGCAGCGAAAUGCGAUAAGUAAUGUGAAUUGCAGAAUUCAGUGAAUCAUCGAAUCUUUGAACGCACAUUGCGCCCAUUAGUAUUCUAGUGGGCAUGCCUGUUCGAGCGUCAUUUCAACCCUUAAGCCCAGCUUAGUGUUGGGAGCCUACUUUGGCGGAAGCUACCCGGGACCUACCCGGCAGCUACCCUGUAGCUCCCUAAUGUCCUCGGCGGAGUUGUGGUAAUCUCUGAGCGUAGUAGCUAUUAUCUCGCUUUUGCAGGUAUCACGACGUCUUGCCGUAAACCCUUUACUUCUAGUGGUUGACCUCGGAUCAGGUAGGAAUAC